CUGCUUGGUUGUGAGGUUUGAAAUAGAAAUUUGAGUGUAGUAGAAUGGGCAAUCGAGAGAUCAAAGUCAUCGGCCCAUUUUCGCGUGGUGGCAUGUCUACUGCCAUGGAGAAUUUGAAGUGCUAAGCAUUUUUCGGGUGCCCCUUCUUUUCUCUUUCAUAUCCUUUUAUCUUUUAUGAUUAAUUACAAUAUUCAAUGCUUGAACUGCAGACGUGCAGGGAAAACAGAUUUAGUGUACUUUAGGUGAGCUAAGGCGUGUGUAUAAUAAGCCCCAUAUUAUUUUCCUUUUGGAAACUCAUAUCUCUGGUGUUCGAGCAGAUGAGGGUUCUACCAUUUUGGGUUUUGAUGGUAUGAUUCGAUCAGGUGCCAACGGAUUUGCAGGAGGGAUUUGGGCCUUAUCGAACUCCCAAAUGGUUGACGCGUCUGUUCAUCAUAUUCAUUCCCGAUGUUUGACCCCAGAAAUUGCGGACCUUGAUGGGCAUAAAUGGCUUUGUAACUGUGUUCUGCUGUAUACGCAUGUCCAGUUUCUGCUUUGAAAGAAAAAGUCACGGAAGCUUCUAUAUGGAUUCUCGUCUGGCUUGCAGGUUUCUUGGGCUCUGACAGGGGACUUCAACGGCUAUCUUAAUACCGCAGAGAAUAGGGGUGGGCUCAUAGUCGUGCAUUGAAAUUCAAAGAGAGGAUGGGUGCUCUUUGAUUGAAAUUGGCUAGGAAGGGAAUAUAUUUACUUAUCCUCGUAAGUGCCAUGUUGUUUAUUAUAUUCAUGUUCGCCUGGAUAGACGAUUAUCUAAUGAGUUGUGCCGAGUUUUAUUCCCAGAAGCAUCUGUGCUUCAUCUUCCAAGGUUUAAUUCCGACAGUCAUUUGUUGCUCAAGAUGUGGACGCCCACUCCCCCUUCUUAUAAGAGGCCCUUUCACUUCCAGGCCGCUUGGCUAACACUAUAGGAGUUUCCCCGUGUUGUCAGUGAGGUUUUUGCUACUGGCUCUUUCCCUGAUUCUAUUGUUGAGACCUUGAUUGUUUUGAUUGUUCAAGCAUAGAAUAUUGUAAUUAAUCACAAAGGUGCUUGUGUGCAGAAUCCGUCCUUUGUUAAUGAUUUUAUUAAUCCUAUGCAGGCAAGUUUUCCUCCAGGAAGGGUAGCUUCUGAUAACAUUAUUGCUCAGGAGCUUCUUCACUCCGCUAGGAAACACAUAAAGGUCGCUGUGGUGGAAUGGCUGUUAAAAAAAGUGGAUUCAGCGAAAGCCUAUAAUCGAGUGUAUCUAAAGAGUGAGGCGAGGUGAAUGGAAGCCUUUUCAGAUUUCUCCGAGCGGUCCCUUAAUAUCUCACUAUUCUUUGCAGAUGAUGUCAUAUUCUUUACUCGAGCUUCUAUUGAUCAAGCUCGGGUAAUUAAUUUGACUCUUCAAGAGAUUUGUUAUGCUUUAGGGAUGGCUGUUAAUUCAUCCGAAGUCUAAAGGCUUUGUCAGUCCAGCUUGUACUCGGAGGAGGAAAGAUCGGCUGAAGACUAUCCUGAAUGUUUCCUUCCAGUUGGAUACGGGUUGGAAGGGCAAAUUGCUUCAUUGUGCUGAGCGAGCUACUUCGGUGCAGAAUACAAUUACAUCGAUCCCUAUUCAUGCGAUGCAAACGGUGUGGCCUUUAUCGGCGUGUGAUGAUAUCGAUAUGCCGGCUAGAGGUUUUCUUCAGGGAAAAAAUGGUAGGGGUCCUGGGGUUCAUCUUCUGAAUUGGGAUACAGUAACUCUUCCUACGAAGCUUGGUGGAUUGGAUGUUCGUUAGGCUGGAGAGGUUAAUACAGCCUUGAUUAGUGAAUUAAGUUGGGAGCUUGUGAGCGGGUAUGAUGAGCUCUGCAUGAAAAUUAUGGGUGCUAGAUAUGUUCAUGGGACUGAUCUGUGGCCUCAUGUUAUUUCUUCCGGCGCGUCACCACCAUGGAGAGGGAUUAUGCAUGGAUUUAAUUUGCUUGAAGAAGUUACAUUUUCUUUUGGUUUGACACGUGGCUUCCUGCGGUCCGACAUGCCUGCAUUUCAAAAUUUAGCAUAGAUUGUUGAGGUUGACAUCACAAAAACAUGCUAAAACAAAUCAUCUAAGAAAA